rnacentral:rRNA from 1 species
CCUACGGGAGGCUGCAGUGAGGAAUAUUGGUCAAUGGGCGCGAGCCUGAACCAGCGAAGUAGCGUGAAGGAUGACUGCCCUACGGGUUGUAAACUUCUUUUAUAAAGGAAUACAGUGAGGCACGUGUGCCUUUUUGUAUGUACUUUAUGAAUAAGGAUCGGCUAACUCAGUGCCAGCAGCCGCGGUAAUACGGAGGAUCCGAGCGUUAUCCGGAUUUAGUGGGGUUAAGGGGAACGUAGAUGGGUUGUUAAGUCAGUUGUGAAAGUUUGCGGCUCAACCGUAAAAUUGCAAUUGAUACUGGCAGUCUUGAGUACAGUUGAGGUAGGCGGAAUUCGUGGUGUAGCGGUGAAAUGCUUAGAUAUCACGAAGAACUCCGAUUGCGAAGGCAGCUUACUAAACUGCCACUGACAUUGAUGCGCGAAAGUGUGGGUAUCAAACAGGAUUAGAUACCCGAGUAGUC